ACUACGGGUGGCAGCAGUGAGGAAUAUUGGUCAAUGGGCGCGAGCCUGAACCAGCCAAGUAGCGUGAAGGAUGACUGCCCUACGGGUUGUAAACUUCUUUUAUAAAGGAAUAAAGUGAGGCACGUGUGCCUUUUUGUAUGUACUUUAUGAAUAAGCAUCGGCUAACUCCGUGCCAGCAGCCGCGUUAAUACGGAGGAGUCGAGCGUUAUCCGGCUUUAUUGGGUUUAAAGGGAGCGUAGAUGGGGUGUUAAGUCAGUUGUGAAAGUUUGCGGCUCAACCGUAAAAUUGCAAUUGAAACUGGCAGCCUUGAGAACAGUUGAGGUAGGCGGAAUUCGUGGUGUAGCGGUGAAAUGCUUAGAUAUCACGAAGAACUCCGAUUGCGAAGGCAGCUUACUAAACUGCCACUGACAUUGAUGCUCGAAAGUGUGGGUAUCAAACAGGAUUAGAUACCCGUGUAGUC
rnacentral:rRNA from 1 species